rnacentral:lncRNA from 1 species
GUUCAAUUUUAUAUUUUAAACAGCAACUCCAGGAGAAGAAGGGUGUGAGAUUGGAAGCUGUAAACAUAGUUGCUGGCUGUUGAUCAGAUUAGUUUAAAAGUGAAGAAGACCUGAGCUAAUAUGAAGAUGAAAAUUGAGCGAUGCGAGCACGGAGAGGCAAGAUUGCACAGUGGCCUCACACCGGACACCAGGCCCUGGACUCCAGAUUUUCCAGAAGCCUAGGAUGCUUUUCAUCUUCUCUCAUCCCUCACACCAUCUUCUCUUACGGUGAUGAACUCAAGUUCACAGACUUCAUCUUUUGCAGCCUGGUGUACAUGGGACUCUGUGUUGAGAGCCUCUUCUUUCUGGGAAACAAAGAACAGGCCCUAAUGUGAGGCAAGUCCUGAAGUUCGUGUUCUCAACCGAGGAACAAGAAAGAGAUGGACAGAGCCCUGAAAGGGACGCACAGUGGUUUGGAGGCCUAACUUAGGUAGUUGGCUUUCUUUCUAACUCUCACAAAUUUAGAUUUCACAAAUUGGGAAAGUGACAUCUCAAAAUAAAUAAAUAGGAGAAAUUAUUUGUCUUCUCUAUAAAAUUAUCUUCAAAGAUUUAAAAAGUAUAUAUACAUGAAAUAACGUGAGUGUUUAUUUUGCUGGGCUAAUUACAGUGCUCUCACCUCAUCAAAGUUAGCAAAAGCAGUGCAAAAUCAGCUUCUUUAACAACCUUUGAAAGAAAGUGCCUAUUCGUCUAAAAAUUCUGUAUUUUUGACUUUUCACUAAUUUCACCUGAUAUCAC